GAUGAACGCUGACAGAAUGCUUAACACAUGCAAGUCGAUGGGGAAGUGGUGCUUGCACCCUGGUAACCAUGGCGGACGGGUGAGUAACGCGUAAGGAACUUGCCUGCGGGACUGGGAUAACAGCAGGAAACUGCUGAUAAUACCGGAUAAGGUCAUUAAGCUGCAUAGCUUAGUGAUGAAAGGAGACGCCUGCGGAGAGCCUUGCGUCCUAUUAGCUAGUUGGAGGGGUAACGGCCCACCAAGGCGAAGAUAGGUAGCCGGCCUGAGAGGGUGGACGGCCACAAGGGGACUGAGAUACGGCCCUUACUCCUACGGGAGGCAGCAGGGGGGAAUAUUGGACAAUGGGGGCAACCCUGAUCCAGCAAUUCUGUGUGCACGAAGACGGUUUUCGGAUUGUAAAGUGCUUUCAGCAGGGAAGAAGGAAGUGACGGUACCUGCAGAAGAAGCGACGGCUAAAUACGUG
rnacentral:rRNA from 1 species